rnacentral:Y_RNA from 1 species
AACUGGUCCGAUGGUAGUGGGUUAUCAGAACUUAUUAACAUUAGUGUCACUAAAGUUGGUAUUCAACCCCCAUUGCUUAAAUUUGACUGGCUUUAA